rnacentral:sRNA from 1 species
AGCUGAUGCAAAUGGUGGCUCUUCUUCCUCCCAGCGCCACCGCAGCAGCUGUUCCCCUCUGGAGGUUUUAACCUUCACACCUAAAGGGCCCUGCAUAUGCUGAGGCCCUUUUUU